UACAGAGGGUGCAAGCGUUAAUCGGAAUUACUGGGCGUAAAGCGUGCGUAGACGGUAGCGUAAGUCGGGUGUGAAAGCCCCGGGCUCAACCUGGGAAUUGCAUUCGAGACUGCUCUGCUAGGGUGCGGAAGAGGGAAGCGGAAUUUCCGGUGUAGCGGUGAAAUGCGUAGAUAUCGGAAGGAACACCAGUGGCGAAAAGCGGCUUCCUGGUCCAGCACCGACGUCAGGCACGAAAGCGUGGGGAGCAAACAGG
rnacentral:rRNA from 1 species